AUUACAAAGCUCCUGUCGCCAUAGCACCUAGCUUAAUGCAUUUGAGAAAAAGACGUCGAGUUGUACAGCUAAUCCUUAAUUUUUGAACAAAAUUCAUGUAAUAGGUAUCUGGCACACCAAACGACAUGUUCCCUGAGCUCCUUGCCGGCAUACCCUAUGGCUAUAAAUCUGAUAUAUGGUCGCUUGGACAAAACUGGACUUAUCAACAAAAUAAACCGGGGUUUGUUCUCACCACUUCCGAUUAUAUACUCCUCCACCUUGAAACAGAUAAUAAAAAGCAUGCUAAGGAAUC